rnacentral:rRNA from 1 species
AUUGAACGCUGGCGGCAUGCCUUACACAUGCAAGUCGAACGGUAACGGGCCUUCGGGUGCCGACGAGUGGCGAACGGGUGAGUAAUGUAUCGGAACGUACCUUUCAGUGGGGGAUAACGUAGCGAAAGUUACGCUAAUACCGCAUAUUCUGUGCGCAGGAAAGCAGGGGAUCGCAAGACCUUGAGCUGAUUGAGCGGCCGAUAUCAGAUUAGCUAGUUGGUGAGGUAAAGGCUCACCAAGGCGACGAUCUGUAGCGGGUCUGAGAGGAUGAUCCGCCACACUGGAACUGAGACACGGUCCAGACUCCUACGGGAGGCAGCAGUGGGGAAUUUUGGACAAUGGGGGCAACCCUGAUCCAGCCAUGCCGCGUGAGUGAAGAAGGCCUUCGGGUUGUAAACUGCUUUUGUACGGAACGAAACGGUGAGCUCUAAUACAGUUUGCUAAUGACGGUACCGUAAGAAUAAGCACUGGCUAACUACGUGCCAGCCGCCGCCGUAAAAC